UACGUAGGGCGCAAGCGUUGUCCGGAAUUAUUGGGCGUAAAGAGCUCGUAGGCGGCUUGUUGCGUCGGUUGUGAAAGCCCGGGGCUUAACCCCGGGUCUGCAGUCGAUACGGGCAGGCUAGAGUUCGGUAGGGGAGACUGGAAUUCCUGGUGUAGCGGUGAAAUGCGCAGAUAUCAGGAGGAACACCGGUGGCGAAGGCGGCUCUCUGGACCACAACUGACGCUGAGGCGCGAAAGCUAGGGGAGCAAACAGG
rnacentral:rRNA from 1 species